CUCCCUUCCUCCCCCGACUCCUUCUCUCCUCCCUUCUUUCUCCCCUCCCCAUCACCGCUCUUUUUGGUGUGUUGCUCACUUUCUCCUCAGUUUGUCCAAACACUUUCAGUUUUCACUUUCAGGAAGUGUUGAGGUCCACACCCAACUCAGGCUCUCCAUCCCUGAGGGGAAGCACGUGGCUGUCCCCUUUCGGUGGAUUUCAAGCAUCCCUGGCGCAGGUGCAGCGGCCUUGCCCUGGGCUCACCAGCAGCCUUUGGGGUCCCAGUUGGCAGGCAGCCCUGUUCCCUGGGGGUCCCUGCCGGAGCUGCUGGUCCCUGGAGCUACCCCGUGGUACGGUUCAUCUGGACCAGCCUCUGAUGUGGGGAAGACCAAGCGAGAGCACACUGCGGAGAGCCCAAAAGUCAGAUGUCCUGGCUUAAGCUGCUGAAGCCACCUUGGACCAUGAGUGAUCUUGAGAAUGGAAGCCACUGUCUAGAUGUUGGAACAAAGACAAUGGCCUGGGCCUCCCUGAUGACACCGCAGAGUCACCAAUUCUAAUGAACAUACUACCAACAGUGAUUUUCUCCUUGGCCCAUUAACCACACGGAAGGGAGUAUUCGCUGUGGAGUGCCUCUGUAGCUGAGGGCCCCUGGCGCGUGGUUUCAUCAGAGGCAGACAGCUGCGUGAGUCACUGUGGUGGGCAGUGUGCUGGGCCACCCUGCGGGUCCUGCCAGAGUGCUGUGGAAUUCAAGUUUGUCUUCUCCAGUUUUAGUCUCUGCACGUGCGUUGGUCUCCUUUCUGCCCCUACAGUGUGGCCAAGGCCAUUCCAGCCUCAGGAGGGCAAGAGGAGGCCUGUUGGAUGCAUCCUGAAAACACAGGCCAUCACUGUGGGUGAGAUCUACCAGGACAGAUGCCAUUCUGCAAAGCUCCUAGUGGUAAAGCAAUUUGCAGGACAACCAUGGAAGAAAGGUGCCCGCCUUCUCUAAGCUGACAUGGCCCCGCUCCCUCCCUCAGUCUGUAGCCUCAGGAGGGGACUGCUUUGCCUGUGAGUGGGAGGGAGCUACCGUGUGAGUAGUUCCCAACAGACCAUCUGAAGUCAUUUUCCCAGGUGGCAGGAGAAACACAGAGCCAGACGUUACACUGCUUUUCAAAGAGGUAAGCUCUUUUUUUUUAACUGCUAUUUAAAACUCCAAACAAAAAUGAAGCUGUGGAUGCAUGCAAGAAUGAAGCCUAAGCAAAAAUAACUCUUCAAAAAGGAAGCAGGUUUUUUGGAGAGGGUGUGUGUGUGAGGGCGGGGCGGGGGCGAGUCCUUCAAUGUGGUUUUGAAAUUAAGGUCCAUGUUCUGUGAUAAUAAGCUAUGUAUCAAUGAGAAAGGCUGAGAUUAUGACAAGAGGAAAAGGAGUAAAGGAUUUGGCGGUUUAAUCACGUUUCUAUUCUUUUUUAUAUCUGCAUCUUCUUUGAAUGCAAGUAUCAAGUUCUGUUUGGCUUUUGUGGAAAGCCAUUUCCGAAGACCUGCCUUACUUGACUGUUUCUCCCUCUCUGGCUCUCCUGUUACCAACGUCCUAGAGUUGCCUCUGCUGCCCCAGCGAGGAUGGCGACACAAACAGCGGUGGUGUCAGCGGACAGCGGUGGUGUCAGCGGUGACCGAGGCAGGGCCGAGACUCCAGGGCCCUUCGGGUUCAAGCUGUGCCCCCUCGCGCAGUUCAGCACCUGCCAGCACUUCCAAGUGUGUGAUUGUCACGCUUGCCUGAUUACUCCUUCCUUUGGGCUCCCAUAGCAAUUUGUACAUUACUGUGGAAUUGAUCAAAUUGCUUUAUAACUAGCUGUUUAUGUGUCUUUAAUCUGUGUCAUUUUGGAUGGCAGGAAAUGCUCUUUCGGUAAUUUUUUUGUCCACACUGACUGGAAUACUGGUUGGCACAUAGUAGGUAUUCAACAGUUUUUUAUCGAGGGAAUGAAAGCUCUCUAAACCACAGCAAUCAUUUGUAGACAAAGACUCUUAGGGUGUAAUGUGAUUUAACAUCUGAUUUUUGGAAAAUAGUUACUGAGAUCAUUCCGACAAUAAUAGAGUGCAAUACCCUACCUUGAAUAAAGGAUAUUUUACUCCUUU
rnacentral:lncRNA from 1 species